AGCCUUCCUCAUUCCCACAUUUAAAACAAUCUGUAUACAUCUAAAAGUCACACACUGUUUUCAUGUAACAAAGUGCAGUGGCUCGUCACUCACUAUGUUUGUUGUUGUUUUCAGGGCCUGGCGCGGAUCUGACAGGUUCCUGGGGAUGUCCAUGCUUAGGGGUCCGGCCCCUUGGCAGCCCUGAUGAGGACAGCUUCCCAAGCCUGGGGCCACUUGGGCUCUCCAUGCCUGCAAUGGUAGUUGAGGGGUUACAAACACACCGGAGAGACAGACAGCCGGAGGCAAUAUUGGGCUGCUUUCUGACGCUCAUUAAUCCCGUUCCAUUGCUUGUCAAAACAUUAUUAGCGAUGUCCACCGCAUCAAUAGCUUGUGAUGAUGCUGUCUCCUUGUUCUACAAUGCACUUUCUUCAUGUCGGACAUCGGUGCUAUUGGACUGAAGGUUAUCGGAGUGGAGGCACACACAUCAUCUGCGGAGAUGCGACCAGGUGGUUUCCCUGACAACUAGCCAGUUCAUUCCAUCCUGAAAUGACACCAAGUGUCAGUGGGAAGGCAGACUUUUCUCUCCCAGACUGCUGGCAUUUCAGCUCUAAGCCCUGCUCUCCUGAUAGCCGAGGAAGAUGCGCCACCUGUCUCUAGACACAGACAGAUGUAACACGGCACUGGAGUGAACCUGAACCAGGAAACGACGGAGAGAGACAGAAGGAUGGAGAGGCACUGAUAUGACUAGAGGCUUGUACAGACAGAGAGAAAAGCACUUCUCUCAUAGAAAUCCUUUUAAAUGAGCUCCCAAUGGAGUCAUCAGAGCCUAGGUGCAGCAGAGAAGGAGGAGAGGCGGAUAAGAAGAACGGGUUGAACAGCAACCAGGCAAAAUCGACAUGUUCCUCCCUUUCUCUGUCUGCCACGCUCAGAGUUCCAUUCAUAUUCUAAUUCAGAGCUACAGUUCAACUGGCAGACGUCACAUGGAGCUCUGAGUAAAGCUCUGCAAGGAUGGGCAACAUCACAGGUGCGUUUCAAAGGAACAAAGUUAGCAAGACACUCUCCCAAGGCAACCAAGGUGUUGCCAACAACAUAUCUUAUGAGGUGGGGUAGCGGGGUUACUAACAUCGUCAUCCUGUUGUGUGUAGGCAGAUGGCUACACACAAAGGCAUAGACUGACUUUGAUGAAAGUUUGAUGUGUUGAGAAGGAAGGAGAGACUGACAGUUUACCAUAAAGACAUAGCAACAAGCAGAGGGGGAAAAGAAGAAGGAGGGCAGAUCCCCCACUAGGCUGUGAUCUGAAUCCUCCCUCCCAAAGCUUUCCAGAUGUUACAACAAACCCUGCGUUGUUCACACUGCCCUGAGAGAGCUAUGGCUCUGGGCUGUGGAAGACAGCCUCUUUACCUUUCACAGGUUGACUGAUAUAACACAGCCUAGCUUGCUGAAAAUACAUGAAAAAGUGCAAGUGAAGUAUCUAAAAACAACACUCCGUAAUCCAACGAAUCCAAUGAAAGCGUUUUGUACAAGAGGAAACAACAAUGAAGGUUGAAGUGGUGGAUGCGCUUAUCGUCUACAACAAAUAACCUGUGAUUCAUUGAGUUUGUGCUCCAUCCACCUAUCCAUCCAUCCGUCGUCAACCACUUAUCCUGCGCACAGGGUCGCGGGGGGUUGGAGCCAAUCCCAGCUGACAUCGGGCAAAAGGCGGGGUACACCC